CGGCGAGCAAAAUAAAUAAGGUCAUGUAUGAGUUGUAGUGAUACAGCUAGUCUAAACAUUAGCUAGCAGAGGUUUUAAAUAGAGCGGAGAGUAAAAUAAACACCUACUGACAAAGACAGACAGACACUAACAAAACCGGUUUCUCUGUUCCUAAUCCCUCCAUCUCCACUAUGGUGCGUCACAGUAAACUUCAGAAACAAGUGUUAUCUCUCUACCGAGAGUUCCUGCGUGCUGGACGGGACAAACCUGGGUUUUUACCCAGAAUACGGGAAGAAUUUCGCACAAAUGCCGCCAUCCAAAAGACAGAUGUGAUGCAUAUUGAUUAUUUGUGUCGACGAGCCCAGAGACAGUUGGAGCAACUUCGAGAUGUGAACACCAAACAACUGGGUUUCUUCAGCAAGACCAAGGAGGACAGCUGACUUAUAUAUAUAUAUAUAUAUUUAUGGACAGACAGGUUUCUUGAGGUGUCAGUAACAGUGUUCAAUCUUACAAUGAAAACAACGUUAAGCAAUUGUGUUUAUGUCUUUAUAUAAAGUUUAUCAGCUCUCAUUGUUGUAUAAAUUGCACACUUACUUUCUGCAGCCCAUUGGUUACAGGGUGUAUGUGGUGUUGGUAGUUAUAGACCCAUUAAUUGACCUGUUUUUUUUUAUAUCCUUUGUAAAGGAACUACGUUAAACCUUUUUAAUCCCGUAUGUAUGACCCACAUUAAAUACGAGUGUCAACAAAUCGACAGAAGUGUUAAACACGUGUUUUAAUGCACUGAAAGAGCUGAGCCAGUAGGGGGCGCUGGUGCGUGACACACGCCAUUAAAACUCAGCAACAGAGAAAGCAGUCCGUGUAAACAGGAAGUGAAGAAGGAGGCAGAAAAAUGGCAGACUCGAGAAAGAGCAGCAGUGAGAUGACAGACGCGCAGUUAAUGCAGCAGUUGGCUCUGCUUGGCUGGCUGAACAGUGACAGUGUGGAGUGUAAACAGUUCCUCACAGCUGUCACUGGCAUGCAGGUGGCUCGAGAAGUCCUUAAUAGAUUAUCAGGUCAAGGAAAAGUGGACGCUUACAGGAAUGAAUGCAUUCAGAGCGUGGCAGACUACGUAAGGAGGAACCCUAGAGCCUCGGAGCGAGAGCUGAACGCAGAGGUGGAGAAGAAUGUGCUUCUGUUUGCCUCUAGAGUGCAGGCUUUAGACUCUUCAUCUCUCCUCUGAAUGCACAGGGAGUGCUGAAAGCACUCUGCCUUCCGUCCUCACCCUGCCUUGUACAUUACAUCUGACAUUUUUACAUGAUUUUACUAAAUGUAUAUGAUUUUAUGUUUUUUUUUAGGUAGGAUUCCUACUUGAAAUGUGAAACACAAUUUCUUUAGGUUUUAUAAUAUAAUUGCUAAAUGUACACCAACAUUAAUAAAAUGAAAAAACUGUGGAUUUCUAAUGUUACUUAUCGAAUAAUAAUAAUAUCGAUAAUUCAUAUCGAAUCAGAUUUCCACAAUGUCUUUUACUUAAUUUAUUAAAGAUAUUUCUAUAUUAAUUUUUACUUUAUAUAGCUAACAUUAUGCAAACAUUAUGUAACUAAUUAUUACCUAGGACCUAGUAUGUGACAUAGGAUUUAAGCUUAAUAAGUUAAUAAAACGUUAUUUAAUAUACAGAAA